ACUUAUGUGCACAGUGGCAGUAUCGUAGCCAAUGAGGUUUAUCCGAGGCACGAUUAUUAUUAAUUGAAAACUUUUCCAGU
rnacentral:snRNA from 1 species